UGCAAGCUACCACAGCCAGAGGCUGGGUUCCUUCUAAAUGGUGGGGGAGUGAGAAGCCUGUGGGCCAUGGAGCUCUGGGAAGCUUCCAGAACAUCAGGCUUGAGCCGCCCUGGCCACAUUCAUGUGUUCCACUGCCACGUGUGCCAGUGACUACUGUCGGGAUGUGCCAGGUCUAGGACAUUCCCACCGCUGCGGAAAACUGCGCUGCUUCUCCUGUGGCUGCUUCUGCCACGUGGCCUUGAAGGAAACCCACGCUCCAGGGAGGCUGGGCAUUGCCUGCCCCUGGACCCCAGUCGGAGUCCCCCCUGGUGGCUGCCUGGGCCUCAGCCACGGCCCCUGAGCAGCUUCCAGCAUCCCGAAGGCUCUGCCCCAGGUCCGAGGCCAUUCCACGGUCGCUCCCUGCUUCCUCUCCUCCUCCGCUCCCCUUGCUUGUGUCCUUGGCAAUGCCCUGCCCCAGUUUCUGCCCCAGAGCCGCUGGCCAGAAAUGGCUGAGGUUCGUAGCUGGAGGAAGUGGGCCUGGGCUGACGAGGUGGCACCACUUUGUCCUGGAACAUCCCGCCCCUUGGCCUGGGUUCCGCUUGGGAAACAGGCGAGGUUCGAAAGGUGAGUUUUUAGAAUUGUCCAAUGGCAAGCUGUGACAGUUGUGUGUACCCUGGAGCUCAUCCCACCGUGGAAAACUCUGGGAAUGUCUGUCUCCACAGUCCUCGGCAAGCGGCCCCAAUAGUGGCAUUGUUUCAAGCUUUUGGAAUAUUGUUUUUGGGAAAUAAAGUGACUCCUGCUCAUUUAGCUGUGCCAACUCACUUGUUUGUCUUAUUCUUUUUGCUCAGCAGGUGGCAUUUUUGUUCAGUGAUUUUAUUUGUAUCCGCCCGUGUUCAUCAACUAUGACAUAUUAAUCAUGCAAAUUAGGAUAUGAUUAAUGAAGGAAAAAUUAAUUCCGCCACUGCAUCUGGGUCUGCUGUGACAGCUUAGUGAAUGCCCUCAUUCUCUGAUGCCAUCAGCAACUUCUCCAGGGCCGCUGCCGAUUGAUAUAUUAAUGUUUAGGGUAAAGGUUAGGGACCGAAGCCCAGAGAGACUUUCCUCUCCAGGGCUGGUGUUACAAGCACAUAUUUGCCUGACAGUGCACAUUUUUGAGACAGCGUGUUGCUAAACCCCGUCCUCCUUCCCACUGUGUGAACAGUUUGUAGGAGGAGGGAGUUCGCUCUGUCUUUCGGUGUCUUCUAGACUGAAGCCCACUGUGUCCAGGGCAAGCUCCCCGACCAACUCUGACUCUUGCUGUUUCCAAGGUCCCAGCUUCUUGUUUUCCAGAUGCUAUUUGCAGACCACGCAGUGACCCAUUCGUCCUUGUACUGCUGGGUUAGGGUCUCCCUGACCUAGCUGGUCUCAGCAAGUGGCGUCCAUCGUGGGGACUCAAAUCCAGGUCGAAGGGUUGCCAGAACAAUGGUUGGAGUGGAAAACUAGCUGGAGGACACUCGAGUACUCUUAAAGCAAUCCCUGUGGCCAAAAUCAACAGCCGAUUUGGAUACCAUCAAGACACCUGAAACCUUAUCAUGAGCCAGAUGCAGAGGAAGAGAUUCCAGGAGGAUCCCGAGGACCCCCGGUUGCAGCCAUGUCAAGACUGACGCUGCGGAGGACCCCAACUGUCACGAGCAACACCCAUCGAACACAGCCACCCACCUGGGGACAGAACAGGAAGCUGUCACAGAUGGCGGAAGAAAACCUGAGGAAAGCGGGACAACCAGUCACAAUGAAUAAUUUAAUGAUAGCUCUGAUAGCGGUUAUCACCACCGCCUCUGCAGAUGUGGAUCCUGACUCCUGCAAGAAGUAGCUCACCGUGACAAAGCUGCCUUUGCUUUUAUCGAUUUGCAAAUCAGAGAAGGGGGACAUAUUGGGAGCAGGCCCCCCAAAAUCUGGCCAUAAACUGGCCCCAAAACUGGACUGGCCAUAAACUGGCCCCAAAACUGGACU
rnacentral:lncRNA from 1 species